rnacentral:tRNA from 1 species
GGGGAUGUAGCUCAGUGGUAGAGCGCAUGUUUAGCAUGUAUGAGGUCCUGGGUUCAAUCCCCGGCAUCUCCA